UACGGAGGGAGCUAGCGUUGUUCGGAAUUACUGGGCGUAAAGCGCGCGUAGGCGGCUUUGUAAGUUAGAGGUGAAAGCCCGGGGCUCAACCCCGGAACUGCCUUUAAAACUGCAUCGCUUGAAUCCGGGAGAGGUGAGUGGAAUUCCGAGUGUAGAGGUGAAAUUCGUAGAUAUUCGGAAGAGCACCAGUGGCGAAGGCGGCUCACUGGACCGGUAUUGACGCUGAGGUGCGAAAGCGUGGGGAGCAAACAGG
rnacentral:rRNA from 1 species